UCUUUUGACUCCUUUUUCUCCAUGUCCGUCUUCAUCUCUUUCUCCUCAUUGAAAAACAUAAAGAAAUGAGGAAACAUAAGCUCUCGCUAUUUUGUGUAUAUGUGUGCUACAUGUAAAAAAAAAAUUAUGCUACUCAAUUUGGUUUGAUUGCUCAUUUGAAUUUUUUUUUAACUCUUGAUUUUAAUGGAAGAAGAAGAUGCAAUUCAACUUUACAAUUUCUACAUAGAUUAGGUUUCUUCACAAGACCUAGAUCUGUAAAGAAGCAACUACAUAAUCAGGUAUCUUUUGACAAUCAUACAGGAUUCUCCUUUCAAAUGGUAAUUGCUCCACAUGUCGAAUUACACUGGGUUUAUUGUUGUUGUAGUAUGAUUUUGGGGAAUUGUGGAACAAAUGUUUUGGUUUGUAACUUAUUUCUUAAUGUUGUAGUAUGGUUCAUAGCUAAUUUGCAUCUUUCCUACUUUUUGUUAUUUGGGCUGUUCGAUUCCGCCAUAUAUAAUAUCAAUUACUCCAAUAAAAUUUCAUUAGGAAUGAGAGAAAUCUAACCUGAAUUGGGUCAAAAUAUUCUUUCUUUUUCACCUUGGUAUUGCAAGAUAAAUUUGUUUAACAAAGUUAAUAUUCUGUUUUAAUGAAUAUAGAUGCUUGAUUUUAACACUAAUUUGUUUGGGCGCUUCAGUUUUUUAGUAGUUCGCCGUGAAGAGACUACAAUGAGGUUACAAGAACAAAGGUGAUCAGUUUAUUAGUGUAAUGAUCGAUUAAAAUGGAUCUUUGCUAAGGCAUCGUGUUGAACAGGAGAGCCCGAAGCUGAAAGGGUCAAUUUUUUAAGCCAAAAUGCCAAAAGAGCUACUCCUUCCAAAAGAGCUACUCCUUUAUCAAAAAGACCAAAUUGGACAAAAUGCUCAAGGUUCAGCGAUUUAUCCUUUUCUUGCUAAUUAUCUCAUUGCAAGUUACCGACUGCGUAACAUCUUGUUAGUUGUUGGUCGCUCAACAACUUAUAAGUUACUGGCUGCACGGACGCUUGUAAGUUGUUGGCUGCUCAGCAACUUAUUAUUUAAAGGCUUCUAAUUAAUUUUUUCCUUUUGUCUUCUAUGGUCUUUCACACAUACUAUCAAGAGUUGUUUUCCUGCAACUUGUAAGGUCUAUAUAGAUUAUUAUGUGAAAUUUUCUCCACCGAUGAAAUUUGUAUCUUUUAUAUUUCUCUAUUUCUUUUGGAAUUAUUUUUGCAUGAGUUUACCUUGAAGUACAAUUUGGUUUCGCCAGAAGUGAAUUGAUUUCUUCAUUAUUUGUUUGUUUUGUGAGUAUUUUGUAUCAGUGUGCAGUUUCAAUGAAUGUGUGUGUUGGUGCUUUUAGUGAUCCUGAGGGGCUUGAAGGCCUUGCUCAUUUUCGUGGUAUGAUUCUUUGUUGCAUAAGUUUCCAUUUAUGGUUUCUUGUAAUUUGUUUAUCGUAUUGGUGUUGUUAUUAUUCCUUUUUUAGUAUACUUUGUCAUGCCCUGUUUAGCACUUUGUCUUGGUUUCCUCACCCUGUUGUUUCCUUGUGCUGAGCGUCUAUCAAAAACAACCUCUAGGUUCACUUCCCUUACAAGAUCCUGCAACUCUUAGGAAUUGCUUGAAAAUUAUAGGCAGAACAUGCAAUAGAAUGUCAAGAAGCAAACAGACAUAAUCAAUGUAUCACAAGAAACAGGUAUAAGCACUGAUAUGAACACUGAAGUUACAUCAACUCAACAGGAUCUUGAUUGCUUCUGGAAUUACUGAUACUCUUUGCCGAAAAGAGGGCAAAAUGACAAAAAACAAGACCAAGUAUAGGGAUAGAGCUUCAGUAGCAAUUAGCUAUCAUAUGGUGUGGAAUUAAAUUGUUAUAUGUAUACUAAUCCCCUAAGUUGCAUUCAACAAGAGUAACCAUAUAUGUCCCAAAAACUAUACUACUACCACAUUUUUUGGUAUUUUGAUUGUCAUUUUUACACUCUCACUUGUCUCAUUGCCUUUUUUAGUAAUUGUUAUUGAAUUUGUAAGAUUUUCCAGUAGUACUUGAACACUAUUAACAUGUGACUGUGUGAGAUUAGGAUGGUGGCUUACAUGAUCUUUUGUUGUGAACUUUAGGAAUAGUUCUGGCCCAUCUUCUCUACUAAAUCCAUGGGAUACAAACAUCCUGUUGCUUUUUCCUUUCAGGCGGCCCACUCACUCUGUUAUGAUCUUCCCAAAACUGGUUAAGAAAUUAAAAAAAACUGAUGUGUAAUUUCUUUAAGAAAUGAAUACGGAUUGAAAUAACAACAUUGUGAAGAAAUAUGUAUGUAUAUAUGCAUAUGGUUUUAGAAACCUGUGUUUUCGUAGUUAUAAAUUUUAUAAGUUGGAAGUCUUUAUUGGAUAUGUAUGUUGAAUAUGACAGGGGUAGCAGCUGAACUCUCUUAUAAGAAGGCUGUGAUUAUAAAGAUUUGCUCCAGUUUUGUUGUAUGAAGGAAUAUCAAGCUUCUUCUGCAUUAUUUUGCAUAAUGGAACACUUUUCUUCUUUUUAUCAUAUAAUCUUGUUCAUUUUAAUAUUCUUAAGGAUCUUAGAAAUGAAGUGAGAUUUAACUAAUAAAUAGGUUUUUCUUCUUACUCAUCA